UUUACUCUCUCUCUACUACUUCAAUUUUGCUCCGAUCGUUUUGUUUUUCCGGUCAUCUGUUUCCUUUGGCGGUGAAAAUUUUGGUUAGGGUAACGAAUUUGGGGCCUUUGCGAUUUUGUGUGCUUGCAUCGAAAAUCCGUCUCGGAUUUUCUCGUGUAUUGGAUUUAGUAGGUUCGGUAAACUUGGAUUUUUUGUUUUUUUUUUUUGGCAAUUGAAAAUUUUAAUUGUGUGGAAGGCGGUAUUGAUAGGGUUUAGGGUUGAAUUGCUAUCAAUUGCUUCACAUUUGAAACUUAACAUCUGGAUUGUGUGAUGGGGAAAUCAUCUUUGCCUCCUGGCUUUCGGUUUAAUCCUACUGAUGUUGAGCUGGUACAAUAUUAUUUGAAGAGGAAGGUAAUGGGGAAAAGACUCCAUGUUCAAGUUAUUGCUGAGGUGGAUAUUUACAAGUCGGCUCCUUGGGAUCUUCCGGACAAGUCUUGUUGGAGAAGUGGAGAUUUGAAAUGGUACUUCUUUUCUCCUAGAGAGAAGAAAUAUGCACGCGGAGCUAGAAUGAAUCGUGCCGCCGACUGUGGGUACUGGAAGACUUCGGGAAAGGAUAGGUCUGUUGUUUACGAUAGUGAAGUUGUCGGGUGGAUAAAAACAUUAAUUUUCCACACAGGUCGAGCUCCGCGAGGAGAGCGGACUAAUUGGGUUUUACAUGAGUAUAGGCUUGAAGACAAGAACCUGGUUGAUAUGGGUGUGCCUCAGGAUUCUUAUGUGCUCUGUAUGGUUUUCCAAAAGGAUGGGAUAGGACCGAGAAGUAAUAAACAAUAUGGUGCUCCCUUCAGAGAGGAAGACUGGACUGAUGAUGAGGUUGAGACUGAUGUAGUUCCAUGUGUAAACAUGUCUGAGCCAGACCUUGUUCAAGCAAACAUCACUGAGCCCGAUCUUGUUUAUGGAAAUGUGCCCGACCCAUACCUUGUUUAUCCAAACAUGCCUCAAUCAGACCUUGGUUGUGCAAACAUGCCUGAGCCAUACCUGGUCUUGCCCAGCAACUAUAAUAGUUCUGUUGCUACUCACACCAAUUCUCAUGUGUCUUGCGUUUCUGAUGUCUUGCCACCUUCUAGCAAUGUUCUCCAGUCUGUUUCCAGUAAUUAUGUUACAACAGAGAAACCUCAUGUUUCAACUGAUGAUGAUAUCACGUCGAUGCUUAAUUGCUUUACAGAAGAAGGAACUUUCUCCAUGGGUGACAUUGACAAAAAUGAGGAGCUUGAUAAUUUCAUUUAUUCUGGAGAUGCUAAUCCUAUAGCUGAUCUCGAAAUACGUGAUACUUAUGAAGAUCUGGGAGGUUUGAGCAAAGAUGGAUAUAAUAUCCCCAAUGGAGCUAUUUCUGGAGCUCCAGAUGUCAAAUUCUGAAUUAGAGGACAAGAUUUUCAGCUUGUUCAAGGAUUUUAUGGCCGGGAUUGCCAAGUUUGAAGAAUUGGUGCCCAUGGGAAGCACAUUUCUCAAUGGCUUUCAGCAUGCACUGGAGUUUCUUCGACGUCCGGCGAUAGAUAAAACAUCUGAGUUGGUUAAAAAUAUAAUCCAAUCUAACGAAACAAAGAGGGUUAAAUCAUACAUUGAAGCUGGAUGUAUCAACACUGAUGAUGGCAGGCACAAUAUAACCAAGUAAGUGCAAUCAUGCCAACUUGGACUUCAUGACCAUAUAUGUAAAGGAAAAGGUAUACUUAACGAACUGGAAUGCCUACUGGAAGAUGUAAGUGGUGCAAUGCAAGAUAAAUCCUUGUUCCAGGAUGACAAUUUGGGUGAAAG